UACGUAGGGGGCUAGCGUUGUCCGGAAUCAUUGGGCGUAAAGCGCGUGUAGGCGGUCCGGUAAGUCCGCUGUGAAAGUCGGGGGCUCAACCCUCGAAUGCCGGUGGAUACUGUCGGGCUAGAGUGCGGAAGAGGCGAGUGGAAUUCCAGGUGUAGCGGUGAAAUGCGUAGAUAUCUGGAGGAACACCGGUGGCGAAGGCGGCAUCCUGGACCGGUAUUGACGCUGAGGCGCGAAAGCCAGGGGAGCAAACGGG
rnacentral:rRNA from 1 species